rnacentral:rRNA from 1 species
AUGGGGAUGGCACCAUGGCAGCACCAAUCUCCAGCGCACGUGCCCCUCUUGCACCGGAGUACUACAUCUAGAUGGUCGAGUUCUACCUCGAAGCGACCCAUCGCCUCCCCAUCAGCGACAUCCCCUAUCUCGCCGACUACAUCUCCAGUAGAAGCCUCGCCGAUCCCAUCACAACAUCUUCAUCGCCACCACAGAAGCGUCCACGGGGACAACGGCCUACCUCCACCGAGUGAAGUGGAGUGCAAAUGUCGUGGCAACGCCUCCAGGCAGGAGACGACACUCUCCAGUGUCACCGCCAGCACCGGCAAGCCAAGAAAGGAUUUCUCUUUGGCAUGCCUGAGCAAUUUCAAAGCCAUCAGACCAGGACUCGGGAGUCGAAAGUCACAGGUAGGUCGAAAAGCCACCACCACCAGAAGGGGAGACGCGCCGGACACACGAACCUUGGACAUUAUGAGGGUCGAGGCAACAAGGUGGUCGGGGUUGGGAGGUUGGAGGGUCGGCGAGGCGAAAGGGGCUGAUGGAGGGGACGCGGCGGCGACAGGCGAUCCCAAUGAGCUGGUAACUGGAAGAGACGCAGAUCCAGGUCGCCGGGGCUGGUAUCGAGGCCUGAGGAGACGCAACCUCCAGAGCGUCGGGGCCAGUGUCGCGUCGCAAGAGACAUCGGAAAACGCAAGUCGAGGGUCACGGGGUCAAGAGCUACACCAGCAAGGGGUCCAUCGCAAGGGCACGAGCACUUGCAGAACGCCAGCAGGCGCCGCUGAAGCAAGCCAAAAAAUCCAUCAUUUUGAAGUCAAUGCCACAACUCAGAGGAGAAGAGUGUUGUCGCGGCGCCGCAAGGGCGGCCCGAGACCAGCGGAGGAGCACACCACCCCCAACCCCAGGUCUAGCGCCAGCAAUAAAGGAGAAGCCGACGACAGGACAUGCCUCACCAGGAUCCCAGAUCUGACACGGGGAGGAGGGGAGAGGCGGACGCACCUCGCCGGUGGCAGGAGCUCGCAACGGCCGGUAGCAGGAUGGGCGGGCAGGGGCAGCGUAGCAGGCAGCCAUCACAGACGUGCUGGCGCAGGGUGCCGCCGGCGAACGGGUGGGCUGGCAAGGGAGCCUAAGCUCGACGAGGUGCCCCGCCGCCGCCAUCCUGGGAGCCGGCUCGGGCUACCACCACCUGCCGCCACGGGGUAA